UACGGAGGAUCCAAGCGUUAUCCGGAAUCAUUGGGUUUAAAGGGUCCGUAGGCGGUCUUAUAAGUCAGUGGUGAAAUCCCAUCGCUCAACGAUGGAACUGCCAUUGAUACUGUAAGACUUGAAUACUUAGGAAGUAACUAGAAUAUGUAGUGUAGCGGUGAAAUGCUUAGAUAUUACAUGGAAUACCAAUUGCGAAGGCAGGUUACUACUAAGUGAUUGACGCUGAUGGACGAAAGCGUGGGGAGCGAACAGGAUUAGAUACCCUGGUAGUCCACGCCGUAAACGAUGGAUACUAGCUGUUCGGAGCAAUCUGAGUGGCUAAGCGAAAGUGAUAAGUAUCCCACCUGGGGAGUACGCACGCAAGUGUG
rnacentral:rRNA from 1 species